CUUUCUUCUCUCCUCCUUUGUCUUCUACCCCUCCCAAAUCAAGCCUUUCCUUCAGUGAAGGCCAAGUUCUGAACAGUCUGCUCUAACUGGCAUGGACCAGGACACUCUGAGUUCCAAUCUGUUGCUUAGCACCAAGGUUGCCUGGAUACAUCUCCUGGUGACAACUGGCCUUUGGCUUCGACUGCUUAUGCACAUAAACCAUGCAGUGAGCAUCUCUGUUCAGAGGGGCACUGGGCUGGAACCAACUUCCACAAUCUCCUUUUGAACCACCUGGGUGGUGGUGGGAGGGAGAGCUUGUUUUAAAAGAAAAGAGACCUAAAUUUUUAUGCUGCGCUACAGAAAAUCCCAGAGGAAAGAAGUGAAGAUAAUCUGAGCUCUUCUGCCUACUGAGGAGACACUGGCAUGUCAGGACAUGGACUGUGACCUUGAAAGAAUAGAGAAGAAGGUCUUGCAGUUGACAGAUGUGGCCUGGGUCACCGGGAUUGAGCCUUUCACAGAGAAUAAUCCAGGCAAGCAGGUUGCAGUAGUGAGUUCUUCCCUUGAAAGACAACCAAGGAAGCAAGAAGAUGGGAUUUCCAUGAGAGAAUGGAACAGAAGAUGCUGAAGACUUGAUGAGGAGCAGAUGAGGGAUGGAUUUGGUAUGUGGGAGGCUGCUUGGUGACAGCAGACA
rnacentral:lncRNA from 1 species